CCCUGAGUGGUGAAAAUGGCUAACACACUUGGCUGCUAACCAAAAGUUCAGAGGUUCGAAUCCACCCAGAGGUG
rnacentral:tRNA from 1 species